rnacentral:tRNA from 2 species
GGGCGGUUAGCUCAGCGGGAGAGCGCUGUCUUCACACGGCAGAGGUCACUGGUUCGAUCCCAGUACCGCCCA